AUUGAACGCUGGCGGCAGGCCUAACACAUGCAAGUCGAACGAGUGGCGGACGGGUGAGUAAUGUCUGGGCAAUUGCCCGAUGGUGGGGGAUAACUAUUGGAAACGGUAGCUAAUACCACAUACCAUCAGAGGUGCCCAUAUGGGAUUAGCUAGUUGGCGGGGUAACGGCUCACCAAGGCGACGAUCCCUAUCUGGUCUGAGAGGAUGACCGACCACACUGGGACUGAGACACGGUCCAGACGCCUACGGGAGGCAGCAGUGGGGAAUGUUGCACAAUGGGCGAAAGCCUGAUCCAGCCAUGCCGCGUGUGUGAUGAAGGUCUUCGGAUUGUAAAGCAGUUUAAGUUGGGAGGCGUUACCAACAGAAUAAGCACCGGCUAACUUCGUGCCAGCAGCCGCGGUAAUAC
rnacentral:rRNA from 1 species